GGAGAGGUGACCGAGAGGCCGAUGGUGCCGCUCUCGAAAAGCGGUUCCCGAUUUUUCGGGACGUGGGUUCGAAUCCCACCCUCUCCG
rnacentral:tRNA from 1 species